rnacentral:rRNA from 1 species
UACGAAGGGGGCUAGCGUUGCUCGGAAUCUCUGGGCGUAAAGGGUGCGUAGGCGGGUCUUUAAGUCGGAGGUGAAAUCCUGGAGCUCAACUCCAGAACUGCCUUCGAUACUGUAGAGCUUGAGUUCGGGAGAGGUGAGUGGAACUGCGAGUGUAGAGGUGAAAUUCGUAGAUAUUCGCAAGAACACCAGUGGCGAAGGCGGCUCACUGGCCCGAUACUGACGCUGAGGUGCGAAAGCGUGGGGAGCGAACAGG